AUGUCGGGGCGCGGCAAGGGAGGCAAGGGGCUCGGCAAGGGCGGCGCCAAGCGCCAUCGGAAGGUGCUCCGGGACAACAUCCAGGGCAUCACCAAGCCGGCGAUUCGACGUCUGGCACGUCGGGGCGGCGUGAAGCGCAUCUCGGGGCUCAUCUACGAGGAGACCCGCGGCGUGCUCAAGAUCUUCCUCGAGAACGUCAUCCGCGACGCCGUCACCUACACCGAGCACGCCCGCCGCAAGACUGUCACUGCCAUGGACGUCGUCUACGCACUCAAGCGCCAGGGACGCACCCUCUAUGGAUUCGGAGGCUAG
rnacentral:rRNA from 1 species